GGGUUCAUGGCCUAAUGGUAAGGCGUCAGAUUUCGGUCGCCUAAGAAGAUCUCUGAAGAUUGCAGGUUCGAUCCCUGCUGAGCUCG